GACGAACGCUGGCGGCGGGCUUAACACAUGCAAGUCGAACGGAAAGUCCCUGGUUAUGUGGGGUGCGCGAGUUGCGAACGGGUGAGUAACACGUGGGUAACCUGCCACUGACUUUGGGAUAACUUCAGGAAACUGGGGCUAAUACCGGAUAGGAGCUCCUGCUGCUUGGUGGGGGCUGGACAGUUUCGGCGGUUGGGGAUGGACUCGCGGCGUAUCAGCUUGUUGGUGGGGUAGUGGCUUACCCAGGCUCUGACGGGUAGCCGGCCUGAGAGGGUGACCGGCCACGUUGGGACUGAGAUACGGCACAGCCUAAUACGGGAGGCAGCGGUGCGGAAUAGUGCACAGUGGGCGGAGGGAUGAUGCAGCACCGCCACGUGGGGGGUAACAGCCUUCGGGUAGUAUACCGCAUUCGUCUGUGACGAGGCGUGAGUGACGGUAAUGGGUGAAGAAGCACCGGCUAACUACGUG
rnacentral:rRNA from 1 species